CUUUGCAAUAAAUCUUGCUGCUGCUCACUCUUUGGGUCCACACUGCUUUUAUGAGCUGUAACACUCACCACAAAAGUCUGCAGCUUCAGUCCUGAAGCCAGCGAGACCACGAGCCCACCAGGAAGAACAAACAAACUCCAGACACGCCACCUUAAGAGCUGUGACACUCACCACGAGGGUCCGCGGCUUCAUUCUUGAAGUCAGUUGAGACCGAGAACCCACCAAUUCCGGACACACUGGGAUUACAGGGCCUUGGAAGAAAUUUUGUACCUGUUUGCCUCUGCUGGAUGACGCACUCUGAACACAGCUACCUAAAAGUGGAAGGAAGGAGGCCGGGCAGGGUGGCUCACGCCCAUAAUCCCAGCACCUUGGGAGACUGAGUCAGGUGGAUCACUUGAGCUCAGGAGUUUGAGACCAGCCUAGGCAACAUGGCGAAAUCCUGUCUCUACAAAAAAAAUUUAAAACUUAGGCAUGGUGGCACGUGCCUGUAGUCCCAGCUACUCAGGAGUCUGAGGUGGGAGGAUUGCUUGAGCCUAGGAGGUGGAGGCUGCAGUGAGCCGAAAUCACAUCACUGCCCUCCAGCCUGAGCAACAGAGCAAGACCCAAUCUCAAAAAAAAAAAAAAAAAAAAAAAGGCUAAAAGGAAGGACUGUUUUGAGCUGAGGCAACCCCAAGGACUGGUGACAUUCCCUGGGUCUCCCCUGCCAGCCUCGUGUCAUACCCCAAGAGAGGCUGGGACACAUCUGUGAAACAGGAUGCUGAACAGCGGAACACAGCGGACUUGAGCCAGCCUAAGUGGGUUUCUGCUCCUUGCAACAAGAGGCCUGAAUAGAAGCCCCUUCUUCAGGGGAGUGGGCAUCAGCUCAGAAAGAGGAUCCCAUGGGAACUGACUUUGCUGGUGACCAAGGCCCUACCACCAGGGCACCCUGCCCAUGUAUCCCAAGCAGAGGGAGCAGAACCAGCGGUGUAACUACUGUGCUUGACACCCAGGGCAGGUCUUUUUUUAACUCACCGAUCUUCCAUGCAACAAAAUUGUUUUCUGUGAAAAGCAGGAAAUGAAUAACAACAGCGUAGGUACUCCACUUCAAAUUUCCCAAGAAAUUCAGAAGAAUUGUGAACAAGUUGCUGGUUUCACAAUACUGCAAGACACUGCAAGUUAUUCCAAGUUCCUACAGGACAACGAUGCACAAUUAUUUACUUACUUAUGUUUAAAUAUACCUAUCAGUUUGACUUUCAUCCUUUGGUGACAUUCUAAUAAUUUAUGUAAAUAAUUAUUCAGAGACCAAUGAGAGGAUUUUAAUAAGUGCAAAAUGUUAGCAGACGGUACAACAUUGAUAAAUCUAUGGUCUGUAUUUUGUUCUGCCAUUUCAAAAUAAUUAAAAAGUAAGUUUCAAUUUAAAAACAUUAUUGAAAUUCAGUAAAAUAUUUCAAGCAUGAACUAAAAUAUACACUUACUAAACACAAAUAUUACACCUCACAUUUCAUACUCUGUUUCAUUGUUUUAAAUUUUAAACAGAAAUAACUCCACCGGCCACCUAGAAUGAUCAAAUCAGGCAACUCAAGUUACUUUGUUUCAUCUUCACAAUCACUGUGCUAUCAUUGUUCAUUUUGAAUCUACUUUUUAAAAGCAAGAAUAUUUGAUACCAGAUACCAGACACAAAUUAUACCUGAAAAGGAUGUCAUUUUAGGAUUUGUGUCCCACCUAAAGGAUACAAUUCUGUACCCUGACAAUGUUAUUCUAGAAAUAAAUGCCUAUGAGUGAGUCUUGUUUCAAGAGCCAACUCUACAACUAGGAGUUCCCCCAAAGUAACUUCCAUGUGCAAUAAAGUUUUUAUUAAAGGAUAAGUAUUAAAAUUGUCCUAAGCAGAAAACCAAACACUGCAUGUUCUCACUCAUAGGUGGGAAUUGAACAAUGAGAACACUUGGACACAGGGUGGGGAACAUCACACACCAGGGCCUGUCGUGGGGUGGGGGUAGCGGGGAGGGAUAGCAUUGGGAGAUAUACCUAAUGUAAAUGACGAGUUAAUGGGUGCAGCACACCAACAUGGCACAUGAAUACAUAUGUAACAAACCUGCACGUUGUGCACAUGUACCCUAGAACUUAAAGUAUAAUUAAAAAAAUAAAUAAAUAAAAAUUUUUAA
rnacentral:lncRNA from 10 species